GCUUGUAGCUCAGGUGGUUAGAGCGCACCCCUGAUAAGGGUGAGGUCGGUGGUUCAAGUCCACUCCACGCU
rnacentral:tRNA from 1 species